GACGAACGCUGGCGGCGUGCUUAACACAUGCAAGUCGAACGGAAAGGCCCUGCUUGCAGGGUACUCGAGUGGCGAACGGGUGAGUAACACGUGGGUGAUCUGCCCUUCACUUCGGGAUAAGCCUGGGAAACUGGGUCUAAUACCGGAUAGGAGCCAUUUUUAGUGUGAUGGUUGGAAAGUUUUUUCGGUGUAGGAUGAGCUCGCGGCCUAUCAGCUUGUUGGUGGGGUAAUGGCCUACCAAGGCGGCGACGGGUAGCCGGCCUGAGAGGGUGGACGGCCACAUUGGGACUGCGAGACGGCCCAGACUCCUACGGGAGGCAGCAGUGGGGAAUAUUGCACAAUGGGCGCAAGCCUGAUGCAGCGACGCCGCGUGGGGGAGGACGGCCUUCGGGUUGUAAACUCCUUUCGCUAGGGACGAAGCGUUUUGUGACGGUACCUAGAUAAGAAGCACCGGCUAACUACGUG
rnacentral:rRNA from 1 species